rnacentral:rRNA from 1 species
UACGUAGGGGGCGAGCGUUGUCCGGAAUCAUUGGGCGUAAAGAGCUCGUAGGCGGUUCAGUAAGUCAGGUGUGAAAGCUCCGAGCUCAACUCGGAGAGGCCACCUGAUACUGCUGUGACUAGAAUCCAGUAGGGGAGUGUGGAACUCCUGGUGUAGCGUUGAAAUGCGCAGAUAUCAGGAAGAACACCAGCGGCGAAGGCUGCACUCUGGGCUGGAAUUUACGCUGAGGAGUGAAAGUGUGGGUAGCAAACAGG